rnacentral:rRNA from 1 species
UACGUAGGUGGCGAGCGUUGUCCGGAAUUACUGGGUGUAAAGCGCGUGUAGGCGGGAGGCCAAGUCUGCGGUGAAAUCGCUCGGCUCAACUGGGCGGGGUCCGUGGAAACUGGUCACCUGGAGGACGGUAGAGGCGAGUGGAAUUCCCGGUGUAGUGGUGAAAUGCGUAGAGAUCGGAGGAACACCGGUGGCGAAGGCGGUC